rnacentral:rRNA from 1 species
GCAAGUCGAACGAGUUCUCGUUGAUGAUCGGUGCUUGCACCGAGAUUCAACAUGGAACGAGUGGCGGACGGGUGAGUAACACGUGGGUAACCUGCCCUUAAGUGUGGGAUAACAUUUGGAAACAGAUGCUAAUACCGCAUAGAUCCAAGAACCGCAUGGUUCUUGGCUGAAAGAUGGCGUAAGCUAUCGCUUUUGGAUGGACCCGCGGCGUAUUAGCUAGUUGGUGAGGUAAUGGCUCACCAAGGCGAUGAUACGUAGCCGAACUGAGAGGUUGAUCGGCCACAUUGGGACUGAGACACGGCCCAAACUCCUACGGGAGGCAGCAGUAGGGAAUCUUCCACAAUGGACGCAAGUCUGAUGGAGCAACGCCGCGUGAGUGAAGAAGGCUUUCGGGUCGUAAAACUCUGUUGUUGGAGAAGAAUGGUCGGCAGAGUAACUGUUGUCGGCGUGACGGUAUCCAACCAGAAAGCCACGGCUAACUACGUGCCAGCAGCCGCGGUAAUACGUAGGUGGCAAGCGUUAUCCGGAUUUAUUGGGCGUAAAGCGAGCGCAGGCGGUUUUUUAAGUCUGAUGUGAAAGCCCUCGGCUUAACCGAGGAAGCGCAUCGGAAACUGGGAAACUUGAGUGCAGAAGAGGACAGUGGAACUCCAUGUGUAGCGGUGAAAUGCGUAGAUAUAUGGAAGAACACCAGUGGCGAAGGCGGCUGGCUGGUCUGUAACUGACGCUGAGGCUCGAAAGCAUGGGUAGCGAACAGGAUUAGAUACCCUGGUAGUCCAUGCCGUAAACGAU